rnacentral:rRNA from 1 species
GCGAUCAUACCAGCACUAAUGCACCGGAUCCAUCAGAACUCCGAAGUUAAGCGUGCUUGGCGAGAGUAGUACUAAGAUGGGUGACCUCUUGGGAAGUCCUCGUGUUGCACCCC